GAUGAACGCUGGCGGCGUGCCUAAUACAUGCAAGUCGAGCGAACAGACGAGGAGCUUGCUCCUCUGACGUUAGCGGCGGACGGGUGAGUAACACGUGGAUAACCUACCUAUAAGACUGGGAUAACUUCGGGAAACCGGAGCUAAUACCGGAUAAUAUAUUGAACCGCAUGGUUCAAUAGUGAAAGACGGUUUUGCUGUCACUUAUAGAUGGAUCCGCGCCGCAUUAGCUAGUUGGUAAGGUAACGGCUUACCAAGGCAACGAUGCGUAGCCGACCUGAGAGGGUGAUCGGCCACACUGGAACUGAGACACGGUCCAGACUCCUACGGGAGGCAGCAGUAGGGAAUCUUCCGCAAUGGGCGAAAGCCUGACGGAGCAAAGCCGCGUGAGUGAUGAAGGUCUUCGGAUCGUAAAACUCUGUUAUUAGGGAAGAACAAAUGUGUAAGUAACUAUGCUCGUCUUGACGGUACCUAAUCAGAAAGCCACGGCUAACUACGUG
rnacentral:rRNA from 1 species